GUUUGAAUACAACUGCAAAGCUCUUGCAGACACCAUGAACCUCCAGCAUUCCCUUCCAUCUCUUGUCCAACCAUCCCAUGGCACCUUGGGGUUAGGAAACCUUGGUUUAUCAUGUGUCUUCACAGCAAAAUGCUGUGUUUUCCAGCUCAGACAGUCCAGAGCAGUGGAGGAAACACAAGGACAAGAGAAGUGAGGAAGGGACACAUUGGGUUGGCUUUCCAGCUGGGUGGUAAAGCCCCUUUUGCCUUGCACCUGAGCCAGAUGGUUGAUGAUGAAGGUCACCUUGCCUUCACCCUUUGCCUCUAGAGGAUGGUGAUGCUCAUUUAGAGUUUGCAGUGGAUUUGCUGGAGCUGCAGUUCUGUAUUCAACCAUGAGCCACCCAUCCUUGUUGUCCAAAGCCAAUUUCUACCCAUGCAGAUUUUUGGCAUCCACAAUACCCAUCAGUGAGGAGCUGCAAUCAUGGAAUGUCUCCCUUCCUCUGGUUCAGUCCUACCUGGAAGACCACCGGCAAGCCCUGGCUGCUACAGGGAUGCAUUUCACUCCAGUCCAGCUGCUGUCUAUCCCAGCAUUCCCACUGUCCUCCCCAUCAUUGUGGCUGGCAAGACACCCACCUAAAGAAUCAGCCACUCUGCACGUAUUUUUACAUUAUAAUAUAUACCCUUUAUAUAUAAAACAUCAGUGCAAAACCAUCUGUUCUGUAGCAAGGGGAUGGGGGAGAAAUGAGUGGAUAACAACAGAUAUUGUUGCCAUGUCCUUGUCUUCAGGCUUUGGUAGUGUUAGUAGCAAAAUGCUCCCGUGUGCAGUCCCCUGCGAGCAGCUGGCAUUGGUGCCGAAAUUGCCACCCAAAGAUCCCUGAGUGUGGACGAGGCGAUGACCUCUGAACUGGUGAUGGAGCUGGAACCCUUUGCUGUGGCUGUUGGUUCAUGAGUGAAUGGCUGGAAGAGAGCAGGAAGGGAAUCAAGGAUUUCCAUUGAAUUCACGCCAACUUGAGUUGCUCAUUGAGCCAUACAAUAGGAUAACCACUCACCUCUUGGCACCAGAGUGAUCUCAUCCACUUGUUCAGGCUGAGAAGAGCAGCUACAUGUCCCUGGAGCGAAGAUGCUCCAUGCAAUGGGCAGCUGGGGACGUGGGGACAUGCCCCAUGCCACUGCCACUUGGGGAAGCACCAAGCUUCGAGCAUCCUCCUGGCUGGCGGGGCUGGUAGGUACACCAACGUGCUCUGUGCUGGGUGCUCAGCCCGUGGGGAUGUCACCAGGUGGCAACAUCUCAUCGUUCUCUGCUGCGGUGGUGGGAGCCACCAUUGGGAUGGCUGUCACUGCCACCACAUAGUUCUGGCGCCUACAGAUGGGAGAAGAGUGUGAACCAUGCCCAGAGGGUCUUUCCCAGCUUUCAGGAAAGCAGCGGGUCUUGUGGAUGAGCCACAUGGUGCUCAACAAACUUACGUUUUCAUCCUCCAGUAGCAGAAUCCCGCAACACUGACAACAAACAGGAUUGAGAUCCCUAAGGGAGAAACAAAGUGGAUGAUGAGCGUCUUCCAAUGGAUGGC
rnacentral:lncRNA from 1 species